rnacentral:rRNA from 1 species
GCCUCUAUUCAUAAGCUUACACUCGAGGAUGAGCCCGCGGCCCAUCAGCUAGUUGGCGGGGUAACGGCCCACCAAGGCAACGACGGGUAGCUGGUCUGAGAGGACGAUCAGCCACACUGGAACUGAGACACGGUCCAGACUCCUACGGGAGGCAGCAGUGGGGAAUUUUCCACAAUGGGCGCAAGCCUGAUGGAGCAACGCCGCGUGUGUGAUGAAGGUCUUCGGAUCGUAAAGCACUUUCGACCGGGACGAAAAACCUCUGGCUAACAUCCAGGGGCCUGACGGUACCGGGAGAAGAAGCACCGGCUAACUCUGUGCCAGCAGCCGCGGUAAUACAGAGGGUGCAAGCGUUGUUCGGAAUUAUUGGGCGUAAAGCGCGUGUAGGCGGCUUGGCAAGUCAGAUGUGAAAGCCCUCGGCUCAACCGAGGAAGUGCGUCUGAAACUGCCUGAGCUUGAGUGCCGGAGAGGGUGGCGGAACUCUGCAAGUAGAGGUGAAAUUCGUAGAUAUGCGGAAGAACACCGGUGGCGAAGGCGGCCACCUGGACGGCAACUGACGCUGAGACGCGAAAGCGUGGGGAGCAAACAGGAUUAGAUACCCUGGUAGUCCACGCUGUAAACGAUGAGAACUAGGUGUCGUGGGUGUUGACCCCCGCGGUGCCGUAGCUAACGCAU